UCAAUUAUUUAUAGCCUCUGGCUAUAGGAAAUUGUUAGUGGCAGACGGGUGAGUAAUGCGUAGGAAUCUACCUAGUAGUACGGAAUAGCCAUUAGAAAUGGUGGGUAAUACUGUAUAAUCCCCGAGGGGGAAAGAUUUAUCGCUAUUAGAUGAGCCUACGUUAGAUUAGCUAGUUGGUGAGGUAAUGGCUUACCAAGGCUAUGAUCUAUAGCUGGUCUGAGAGGACGAUCAGCCACACUGGAACUGAGAUACGGUCCAGACUCCUACGGGAGGCAGCAGUGGGGAAUAUUGGACAAUGGGCGAAAGCCUGAUCCAGCUAUGCCGCGUGAGUGAAGAAGGCCUUCGGGUUGUAAAACUCUUUCAAUAGGGAAGAUAAUGACGGUACCUAUAA
rnacentral:rRNA from 1 species